UACAGAGGUGGCAAGCGUUGUUCGGAAUUACUGGGCGUAAAGCGUGCGCAGGCGGUUCGCUAAGACCGAUGUGAAAUCCCCGGGCUUAACCUGGGAACUGCAUUGGUGACUGGCGGGCUAGAGUAUGGCAGAGGGGGGUAGAAUUCCACGUGUAGCAGUGAAAUGCGUAGAGAUGUGGAGGAAUACCGAUGGCGAAGGCAGCCCCCUGGGCCAAUACUGACGCUCAUGCACGAAAGCGUGGGGAGCAAACAGG
rnacentral:rRNA from 1 species